GGGGCGUUGGCAGGGUUAAAGUUAGAGAAUUAUUCCACGUCUCCCCCAAAACACCCUGACCCUCAGAGUACAGUGCAAAUGGAGGUGUACCACUCUCCGUGAUGGUGCUCCAGCAUCCAGGAGGUGACCCCUCCAUGGGAUAAACAACCCAGUCAGUGACCCUGGUUGCUACAGGAACAAGGAUAAGCAAGAGCUCCUCACUGAACAGAAAGUUGGCUCUUCUUCACCCCCAAACCAGGAGCAUGGAAUAUACUGGAUGCGCUAUCUCCUGACUGAGUCCUUGCAGGAAUAUCCAGCUAUAGUAAUAUGGCAUAUCUGUCAUGGUACAUGGGACACGACACCUCUCUGCUGUUUGUGGCAGCUUCCAGGAGAAGGAGGAGUUGGAGUCUCAUGACUGCCUCGACAAAUAUAUAAGGAGAUGGCAUUUGUCUUGCCUGCCAGGCGUACAGCCCCACACGGUCUUCUGCGUAUUUGUGAAAAUGCAAGCCAUAUGAACACAUUUCCAUUCCUUUGAUGACUUUUUAAAGUAAUUCUUCUGCUAAAGCAAUUCGUCUAGUAAAGUGAUUCCACAGGGUAAGUCUGCCCCAGCGGCCCGACCAUGUCUGGUGAGUCACUUCUCGGGGGAAGCAAGUGACUCAGGAGGAGCAAGGGAAGGGAGCAAACAUAAAUGCCAAGGUGUAUUGAAGUCAGGGCCCUUCUGAUAAAUGUAGGUCUGUACUUAGAUAAUUUUGUAAUCAGCAUGAUCAAUGCCUUGCUGACACUGGCUCUAGUCUACUAAACCCUCUCAACACAGGAUUAAAUCCACCUCUGCAGGAUAGAACAGAAUUUCCCACAAUAAAAUACAAUUAGUCGCAUGUACUUAAAUUCCAUUGCUUUCAAGUUAGGCACUUGCUUAAGGCUGUUCUUGAAAUAAAGUUGAAGUGUAUCUGUGCUACAGCUGUAAAACAUCUGCUCGCUGUAUUUGGGAGUUACUCUAUUACAGUGUUUA